AUUGAACGCUGGCGGCAGGCUUAACACAUGCAAGUCGAGCGGGGUGAUGGUGCUUGCACUAUCACUUAGCGGCGGACGGGUGAGUAAUGCUUAGGAAUCUGCCUAUUAGUGGGGGACAACAUCCCGAAAGGGAUGCUAAUACCGCAUACGUCCUACGGGAGAAAGCAGGGGAUCACUUGUGACCUUGCGCUAAUAGAUGAGCCUAAGUCGGAGUAGCUAGUUGGUGGGGUAAAGGCCUACCAAGGCGACGAUCUGUAGCGGGUCUGAGAGGAUGAUCCGCCACACUGGGACUGAGACACGGCCCAGACUCCUACGGGAGGCAGCAUUGGGGAAUAUUGGACAAUGGGGGGAACCCUGAUCCAGCCAUGCCGCGUGUGUGGAGAAGGCCUUAUGGUUGUAAAGCACUUUAAGCGAGGAGGAGGCUCUUUUGGUUAAUGCCCAAGAUGAGUGGACGUUACUCGCAGAAUAAGCACCGGCUAACUCUGUGCCAGCCGCCGCCGUAA
rnacentral:rRNA from 1 species